rfam:Picea glauca, whole genome shotgun sequence.
UAUUAUGUACAUGCCUAUAGAAUUAAUGUAAUGGAUCCCAUUAGAACUUCACAGUUAAGUGUGUUUGGGCUAGAGUAGUACUGGGAUGGGUGACCUUCCAGGAAGUCCUAUUGUUUUAUAUGCC